CCGCCGUCGCCGGUGGUUACACGGCGGUUUCACCGCCGUUGACCGAGAGAUUUGGAUAGAUCGUGAAAAAUGGGGUCGAAAGAGGUUAAUUUCGUCACGAAUCGCCGGAAAACUGCCGCUGCCACCGCUGGUCUGCCGCCGCCGCCGGCCUCUGCCGCCGCCGCCGGUCUGGCAGUCCCUUCGCUCACGAGGUAUCGGGGUUCAAGACGUGGCUAUUGCGCAAGAUCCGGAGGGCAUGGAGAGUACUUUAUUUUUAAUUAAUAUUUACUUAACGUUGAACUCGUGUACGGACUUUUAUUAGAGCAAA